UACGAAGGGGGCUAGCGUUGUUCGGAUUUACUGGGCGUAAAGCGCAACGUAGGCGGAUCUUUAAGUCAGGGGUGAAAUCCCGAGGCUCAACCUCGGAACUGCCUUUGAUACUGAGGAUCUUGAGUUCGGGAGAGGUGAGUGGAACUGCGAGUGUAGAGGUGAAAUUCGUAGAUAUUCGCAAGAACACCAGUGGCGAAGGCGGCUCACUGGCCCGAUACUGACGCUGAUGCACGAAAGCGUGGGGAGCAAACAGG
rnacentral:rRNA from 1 species